AUGAACGCUGGCGGCGUGCCUCAUACCUGCAAGUCGAGCGAACGGACGAGAAGCUUGCUUCUCUGAUGUUAGCGGCGGACGGGUGAGUAACCCGUGGAUAACCUACCUAUAAGACUGGGAUAACUUCGGGAAACCGGAGCUAAUACCGGAUAAUAUUUUGAACCGCAUGGUUCAAAAGUGAAAGACGGUCUUGCUGUCACUUAUAGAUGGAUCCGCGCUGCAUUAGCUAGUUGGUAAGGUAACGGCUUACCAAGGCAACGAUGCAUAGCCGACCUGAGAGGGUGAUCGGCCACACUGGAACUGAGACACGGUCCAGACUCCUACGGGAGGCAGCAGUAGGGAAUCUUCCGCAAUGGGCGAAAGCCUGACGGAGCAACGCCGCGUGAGUGAUGAAGGUCUUCGGAUCGUAAAACUCUGUUAUUAGGGAAGAACAUAUGUGUAAGUAACUGUGCACAUCUUGACGGUACCUAAUCAGAAAGCCACGGCUAACUACGUG
rnacentral:rRNA from 1 species